UUGGACCCCUAACCCGGGAACCUCCAUAUGCUGCGGGGGAGCGGCCCAAGAAAAGACAAAAAAAAAAAAAAAAAGAUCCCUAAAGGAGGGUAAUCAAGUCCCCCCACGAGGAGAGAAAAUUUAUUUUAUAAGUUUUUCAGCUACCACGUUUUAGUGGGGUUUUUUUUCUUUUUUCUUUUUUGGCUGCCCUGAAGCCAGGGAUCAGAUACGAGUGCCCACUGUGACCUAAGCUGCAACUGUGACAACGGUGGAUCCUUAACCCACUGCGCAGGGCCAGGGAUCAAACCUGUGCCCCAGUGCUCCCAAGAUGCUUCCGAUUCUAUUGAGCCACAGCGGGAACUCAUAGUGGUUUUUCUUCUUCAUAUACAUUUUUGUCGAAGUAUAGUUGCUGUGCAAUAUUAUCUAAGAUUCAGGUGUGCCAUGCAGUGGUUUCCAAUUUUGCAAGGUCAUAUUCCAUGUAUAGUUAUUACAAAAUAAUAGCUACAUCCCCCAAGUUGUGUAAACAUAUGCUUGUAGCUUAUUUUCUACCCAAGAGCUGGUACCUCAGAAUCCCCUGUCCCUGUUACUCCCGCCCACCCCCGCCGCCAACUGGGACCCUCUAGUUUGUUCUCUAUGUCUGUGAGUCGGCUAAGGGUGUCAUGCUUUUGAUCUGAACAUUUCAGGCCUCCUUAGGGACACAAAUGAAUUCAUCUCUUCAGCACUGCCUGUAAAGGAGGGAAGAGCAAUUCUCUGUUUUGUAGAGCUAUUUUUUGGACGUGGUUCUGGACAGACACCCAAGUGUUUAGCAGUCCAUUUACUCUCUUAUUCAUUCAGCAGAUAUUUACUGGCUGCCUACUCUGUACCAAAGAGCGAACAUGAAACUCUGCCCUGCCCACGGGGACACAGCCAGCUGGGGAGACAAGAUGGGACACGCACACGAAGCUUAAAAACACCACCAAGAGCAAGGCUUCAGCUGUGGCUCUCCAAAGGAGUGGCAGAGAUGAUCGACCUGUUCCCCUGGAUUGUCCAAGAAGGAGCCACCGGGACAGCUGGUGACCCUCCCUUUCCAUUCGUCGA
rnacentral:lncRNA from 1 species